AUUGAACGCUGGCGGCAUGCCUUACACAUGCAAGUCGAACGGUAACGGGCCUUCGGGUGCCGACGAGUGGCGAACGGGUGAAUAAUGUAUCGGAACGUACCUUUCAGUGGGGGAUAACGUAGCGAAAGUUACGCUAAUACCGCAUAUUCUGUGAGCAGGAAAGCAGGGGAUCACAAGACCUUGCGCUGAUUGAGCGGCCGAUAUCAGAUUAGCUAGUUGGUGAGGUAAAGGCUCACCAAGGCGACGAUCUGUAGCGGGUCUGAGAGGAUGAUCCGCCACACUGGAACUGAGACACGGUCCAGACUCCUACGGGAGGCAGCAGUGGGGAAUUUUGGACAAUGGGGGCAACCCUGAUCCAGCCAUGCCGCGUGAGUGAAGAAGGCCUUCGGGUUGUAAAGCUCUUUCGGCCGGGAAGAAAUCGUAUCAGCUAAUACCUGGUGCGGAUGACGGUACCGGCAUAAGAAGCACCGGCUAACUACGUGCCAGCCGCCGCGGUAAAAC
rnacentral:rRNA from 1 species